CGCGAUUUCAUGUAUCGGUAACAUUAUUCCAUGGAAGGGUGCAUAAUAAAUUUAAAAAAAACUUGCCUUAGAAUAAUUGAGAUUUUGUUUGAUUUAUAAAAAAGUAAUCCUAAUAAUAUUAUAAGUGUAAAACUUCAUUAAUAAUUUUGUUUAUGUUUGUUAUCAAUGACCUUUAAAGAGCUAAACAGAAUUAUAUGAAUAUUGAUAAAUAAAUUACCCAUAUUUACAAUUGUACCCAUAAUCAAGUGCGGACAAAGUCUUGGAAUGCAGAUAGUAUUAGGGUAAUAUUAAGUGUUAUCACUGACGCGAGCUGUGGAGAGGCGAACAUGACUGCGCGUACAUCAUGAACUAACGCUACGGGAGCCUUCGUGUGUUUUCUAAAUAUGGUUAAAAAUAAACAUCAUAUGCAGCAAAUAAAUUUUAAACAGAUGUUGCUUAAUAAUAUUUUCAUUGAUUCUAGCAAUCGUCGAACCUAUUAUUUAAUUUAUAAAGAAUUAUCAAAGUCAACGAACUUACAAACAUUAUAAUAGAAGAUAAGGCGGAAGAAAGGGGGAGACCAAUACAUAGUUACAUCAGGAAGAUCAAGGAAAAAGUCGAUGCUAUGUCGUAUCAAGAGGUGAAGAGUCGCUGAAAAUCGUAGUGAGUGGCAAGAGCGCCACCAACAAAAGCACAGCUCUUAAAUAGAUUAUUUCUUUUUAAUGAAUGAUAAUGGAAUGGUAACCCCGCCUGUGCUAUCUGUAUACAUUGGCGGGGUACCAGUGAGAGAUGAUAGGUGAGAAUGAAAAAGCAGGUCAAUUAGCCCAUCGUGAUGAAUUAACUUGGAAUUCAGCACGAUGGUUUCCAGGGAGGACUACGUGGAGGUAGACUUUUUUGGGCAUAUUACUAACAAUGAAACUGGUAGUCCGCAUUAUUAACAAACCCCUCUUAAAUAGGACAGAUAGAUAGAUAUCAAUGUCGAUCUAAUAAUGAAAUUAAUGCAAAAUAUGCAAAGAUCACUUCAUACCUAGAUAUCAAAAAGGUCAAAAAGAAUCACUGCGAAAGAUCUCGAAUAAUUUUACUUUAAAGUUGUGUCUGAAGAUUAAGUAAUUUAAUUACAGUAAUUUUAAUUAUAAUAAUUACUAAGUUAAUAAAUAGAACAUUUAUAUUUUUUAAAGAAAUGAAGAAAUCGUUUGUAACUUGCAAUCGAAGAAACACUCUUCAAUUCUUCGUUUAAUACCUAGAAACUUGCACUUUCCAUUUACGUAUAAAGGGUAUCUUGGGCGACACAGUAUACUCUAUUAUGUCUUUGGUACUCUUUAUAUUUACCUAUAAGCGAUGGUAACCACUCCAUCAGGUGGGUUAUCAACUUGUUUGCCAUUUUAAGUUGCAUAAAAAAAUAUCUUUAUAUAAUAGUUUAGCUACCUCGUCCAGCUAUUAAAUAACGAAUAAUUAGUGUAAGUACAGGUGUGCGCGUUGUUAUUCACAAUAUAGGUAAAUAGAUACGAUACUCGUGUGUCAAUGUCAAAGCAAAAGGCAUACGUAUAUAGAUUAUAUGUGUGAAUACAUAGAUCAAUAAGUCUUUGUUAACAAGCAAGUAUAAUAAUUGUUUUAUAAGAGACGGGAAUAAACGCGAUCUUUUAAUUAAACUAUGAUGAUUUACCUAAAUUAUAACAACGUUUCGAUCUGGUUACAGAUUCCAAAAGUUAUUAUAAGUUUAAUAAUUAUCUAUUUAUUAAACAAUUUGCAUUUUAAUGAUUGUUAUUUUGUGAUAUUAAAAAUUUAAUAACAUACAAACUGAAAUCUCACUGAAAGACUGACUAAAAUUGAAAGAGGACAGAUCGUGCAUCCAACAUCAUACUUCGCCCCCAAACUGACUUUCAAGACGUAGGUCAUAAGUCGGCCAAACUUAGGUGGGAUUGGGUGGGUUACAUUAACCGUAUAGUUAGAUAGAUAGAUAGAUAAUUUAUUUUCAUUACUUACAGCAUAUUCGUUCUCGAUAAGUAGACAAAGAUCUCCACCCGGUGGGUACCUACUGAUGAACGGCAUUGCUGAAGCCGGCCAAGGAAGCGAUUUUAUUUUAAUUUACAUUAAAACUGGACUAGCUGAGAUGACGCUGAACUGGAAGUUUUGGUAGGAAAUGGGAGAGAUAUUUGCUUAGCAAUAGAACAUCACGGGAUCUGUGUCAUGGGUUAAUAAUAGAAUAGAAUAAAUGGAAUUCAAUAUCAUUAACAUCCUUCUAAGGAUAAGGAUAUAUUUAUGUUAUUUUUCGACCCAUGUUUCUUAGAGAAAUUUGAUCAGUUACUCUGAUAGAAUACUUUCUUAAAAGAUCCUAAUAGUUUUUAAUUUCACCGUAUAUAUAUAUAUAUAAGAAAUGCUGAUUUUUUGUUAAAUCGAAUACCACACCUUUAAUAAUUAUACUAAUAAUACCUCAGAGUAUAUUAUUGCUUUAUUACGCUCUAUUUACUUUCUAUAAGAUGCGUUUUGACUUCAUAAGUGUAGCAGUCCACUUUUACCUACACAUAUAAGGAGCGAAAGUUGAUAUUCGUAUAUGUACCUGUCAUUAUUAUCUAUUCUUUAAUCUUUACACAAUGCAAUAGAAAGGACACUAUUUGUAAUAAAACUGAACAAAUUUAUCCUAAACAUAAGAAUAUUUUUUUAUAUACAAAAUUUAUUAGAUAUGUGAUAUCACACGAAUAGAGUGAAGGAUAUUUUUUUGUAAUUAGUAUUUGAACCUGCUUCGUGAAAGUAGAUCAGUUUUUAAAUAUAAUAAUUGAUUUACAAAUUGUUAUAAUAUUUCUAUUAAAACCUGUGUAAUAGUUUUGUAAUCGGUAUUGUAAGCUUGUUUGCCAUUCUAAGUUGCAUAAAAAGAAAUUAGUGUUCGUGAUUGUUUAGAGGAGGCGGUUCUCAUUUUUUAUAAGGCAACUAACUCACUUGCAUGCCGCUCUGAUUAUCAGCUGUAGUAGUUUAAAAAAAAACAUAUUUCCUUGUAGAGCAUUGGUUACAAUAUAACAGUGAUUCAAAUCUCUAUUAUAAAGUACAUACUAGUAAAUCGAAUCGUACAUUUAGUAACAAAUUUUAAAAGUGUAUUAAGGACAAAUCAUUUAAAUAGACUGUGAAUAUAAUCUUAUAAUUUCUGCUGUGCGGUCCCAGCAUAGACUGCGCCACCUCCUCCUUUGCUAUGAGUAUUUUAAGCGGCGACUAAGAGAACUUAAUGGUCGAGGGAUGGGCAGCAACGUUCUUCUUAAAACAUUAUCAGAAGCAUAACUGCGGUUACCAACCUGCCUGCCAAACGUGGUACCUACUGGCAAAAUCUCUCAAUUGAGGGAGGUCUAUGUUCAGCAGCGAGCAGUUAAUGGCUGAUAUGAUGAUGGUAAUUUUAACUAAGAAAAUCUUAUAUAGUUUUUAAUUGAAUUAUUUAUAUGAUUUAAACUAUUGAAUGGUAAGAAUUAUUAAGUGCAUAGUUACAUACUCGAAUUUAUUACUACUGUUAAUAACAUUACAACAAUUCCAAUAGAGAUGUUUGGCGCAUGUUCAUAUGCGAGGUGACAAGAGGCACUUAACCUAUUUUUAGAUCUUAGAACGGUUAUAAAUAUCAUACAUACGAAAUACGUAUUGUAAUAUUACGUGUUUGUUUAUGUUCUGGUUCCUAACAUAUGUUUAGUUGACGUCAAAUUAAAAGUCAGAAAUAUAUAAACGUUUAAUAGACACUUUAGAUUGAAAAUAUUUUUUAUUUAGUUCGCGGAAUUGUAUGUUAUACAAUUAUUAUAGGAUCAUUAUUACAGCGUGAAUUUACUGGGUACAGAGAAAUAACACCUGAGUCCUCAGGAAUGGCAACGCAUGGGGGGUAUCAUGGGCGAAACAGUAUACUCUGUUAUGUCCAUGGUACUGCUCAUGUCUAUAGGCGACGGUUACCACUUUC